AUACCCUCCGUUCCCACGAUCCACCUGGAUUCACCCGGACGUCCCUGAAGACGACCUGGAUCGUGCCUGUAAAAUCAUCCGGAGUCGAGCGAUGGCGGCGACAGAUGGACAUGAAAGAUCACCAAGGACGACCCCGAAUAAAGCCAAGGUCCUGAAGGACAAGCAGACGCGCGGCUGGACUGAGAAGCAGCAGAAAGAGACAGAUGACACGGGUCUGCACAUGCAGUACAAGGAGGACAAGAAGCAAUGCCUCAGUGGCUUCAUUCUCCCUUCACUUAAUACCUCAGGCUUCGCACAUGCUUCGAGAGUCGCACAUGUGACAAGCCCUGCGACGAAAGCAAAGGUGAAAGCGGAUAAAGGCGAAGAAGAGAGACAGCAGCUGGACAAAGUACCGCCUGAGAAGAAGCGUGCCACUGGAAGCAGCAGACGAGACAAAGAUCACAGAAAGGGGCACGGCCAACACUUCCCUGCUAAACUAACCAGGGAUACAUGUGAGAGUGAAGAUGAGCCAGAUACGAAAAGUGGCUCCGACAGCAAUCGAAGUAAUGAUGAUGAUUUUCCUCCUCUACCUGGGGUGCGAAUUUGCUGCACUGAUAGCAGUGGAGCUGACUCACUGAGUGACACAAAUGAGGUGGAGGAAAAUGAAACAGUGCAGGCCUCCAACGGUCCGAGCUCUGACACAGAGCAGGAUCCUCACAAAUGCUUCCCUCCAAAAUCCACAAACCAGGCUGGCCGUCUCCUCCAUCCCACUGAGCCCUCGGCCCUGGGGAGCAAUCGGUGGGUGGUUCCCCUUCCCCUUAAAAACGCCCUGGAGUCAGGGCACAAGUCUAUGAUCUGUUGGCGGACUUCCCGGCCCUCCAGCCCCCGGCGAAUCCCUCCCUGUUUCCUGAAUCGAGUCAUGGGAAUCCCAAGACCAAUGCUGCGGAAGAGAAACGAGGUCUUCCUCACUGGCCAAAGUAUUGCCAACACAGUAGGGCUCCCCAUGUGAGGAGAGUGGAAAAAAUCCCCUGUGAGGUCUCCUCCAUCUGUUCCGGAUAUCAGAAAUCAAAGCAGAACCUUCUAGUGUGUGGACAGGCCAACCGCCAGACACCUUCUAGAGGGGGGGCGAUGGCUGAAAAAUUCCUUUGCAGCAGAGGAGAGCGCCGCUUUUUAAAGCAUCUGACGUAAGGCGACCCAGACAGGGCGGCUCACGCGAGAAAUGGCUGAAGCACUAAUCCUUUGCGCCUCGGCGUGCGUGCGGCAGUUGCAGCUGGACACUCUGCUGCUCAAAAGUUUGCCGACAAAGGGACUUCUUCACUCAACAUCUGAGGAAGCAAAACUUGAAUAAAUUUGACUCCUCAAACGAAUGACUUGAUCCGACCGACCCGACUCAGCAGGAGAAACGUCAGUCAGGAAGAGCCGUCUACGAAUGUUAUUGAAUUUAUGCUUUGUGUACAAAGCUCAUUAAAAAAGAAAGAAAAAAAAUUUACACAUCUGUC